rnacentral:lncRNA from 1 species
UAUGCAAGCUUUGAGCAGCCUGUCAAGAUUCAUCAUCGAAUGCAAAAAGAAAAAACUCCUCUUAUCUAGGUAUACUUUUUCCCAUUAUAUUUAUAUUUUUUAAAUUUAAAUUAUUUAACCUAUUGCCCAUUAUAUUUAUAUUUUUUAAAUUUGAAUAGUCAACAAAACUUAUUAAUUAAUAAAAUAUUAUUCAUAAAAUACUUUUAUUUAUAAAAAUUUAAGAUUUAUUUUUCUAAAUUUAAAUAAUUUAAUAAAUAAUUUUAAUUAUAUAAAUAAAUUAGAAAUUAAUUAAGUGAGAUAAUUAUUUUUUAAUAAUAAAAAUAGCAUAUAAAAUUAAUUUACGCAAUUAUGAAUAAUUUUUAAAAAAUUCAUAUGUUGGAGUUAAAAUUUUAAAGACGAAAAAUAAAUUUUUUUAAAUUAAAAAAAAUAAAAAAAUAAAAUAAAAUAAAUAAUUAAAAUUAAAUGAACUAAAGUAAUAUUAGUUGAUAAAAGGAUUAAAGAAUUUAAUUUUAUAAAAUAUAAAAUAUUUUAAUUGAGUAAUUUUAAAAUAAAAAAGAAUUAAUAUAAAAAUUUCAUGAUAAUUUUUAUAUUAUAAAUAAAAUUACUUAAAUAACUCUACAUAAUUUAAAAAUUUUCAGGCACCUAGAGGCCGUUGUCUACGGCGCCGUCCUUGAUUCCUAAAGAACAUAUUUGAAACUAAAGCUGCCCUCGCUUGAAAGCCAGAUAGCCAGAUAGUGUGUGAAAAUCAUGAAAAGUUGUUUGCAUGGCUGCCAUUAUUUGCUUAAUAUAAGAUUAAUUAUUUUGGUAAAAUAAUUAAUAUUAUGUUAUUAAAAUACAAUGAGAAAUAAGAAAAACAUUUCAUUAACUUGUUAUUUUUUAAAUUUUUUUUGGAAAUAUCACUCAGGCUCACUGAUAUAUUAUUUAUUUAUUUAUUUUUAAUUAACAAUUAUUUUAUUAAUUUUUUUAACAUUUUAUUUACAUAUCUUUAAUUAAAAGUGUUUAAUUAACUUGUAUAGGGAAAAAUAGUGUAAUGCAUGGUGAUGGGUUGUUAUUAUGGACAAAACACGUGAUACUGUUCAGAUAAGUUGAUAGGGAAUCAAUUUUAAGGGUUCAAUCAGGGAUGGCAUUGGCAGACGGGCGGGUUUUUACAGGUAUCCAUUUGCUCAAACCCUAUUAAAAUGGGUUUGGGUUUUUACAAAAUGAAUUUGGAUAAAUUUGGGUUUGGAUCCGAUACCCGUUACCCGAACCGAUUACCUAUAUACUAACAAAACUAACCCUAAUCCCCAUUUCGUUUUCUCAUUUUACUCGAGUUUCCCCUCUCCGUCGGCGCCUCUCUCCUCCGCUUCUCUUCCCAUAAUUUCCAAUCGAUGUCUCUCCUCUACUUCACUGCCGACAGCCGAGUAGGCACCGGCGACGUCUCCUUUCUUAAAUUUUCUCUCUCCCCAGUUAGCGAUAUCUCUCUCUCUCCGGCGACAUCUCCCACUUUCCAGUCAACUUUCCAGUCAACGCCUCUCUCCCCAACUUCACUGAGGAGUGUCGGUAGCCCAGUUGGCACCGUCGAUGUCUCCUUUCUCCCCCAGUCCAAGAUAAAUCUUCUCUCUCCCCAGUCACUCAUAUCUCCUCUCUCUCCAGUGUGCCAACGUCUGAACUCUCUUCAGGUUUGCAAUUAAAUUUUUUGAUAAUUAAGAUCUUUUAUGUGCAUGUUGUUAAAGAAUUUUUAGUUGAUUAAUGGUUGUGGUUUCAUGAAUUUGUUUGUUAUUUGUGUUAUAAUAUCUAAAUCUUUAAAUUUUUUGUCAUUCAAUUGUAAAAAUCGGGUUUGGGUAUUCAACGGUAUUGUUAAACGGAUUUGUUUGGGACGGGUUCAGGAAUUUUAUAUAUAAUCGGAUUUGGGUUUAGGUACUCUCAAUUUUCCAUUCCUAGGUUCAACUGAUUUGGAAUGCAUGGUUAUAGGUUGUUAUCAUAAUCAAAACACAUGAAAUUCAAAUUCACACAAACAUAAUCUCUCCGAACUUCAGGAACUAAGCAUGCACAAUCUUUCUUACUAUUGCCAAACCUCCUCUAAAAAUAAGUAAUGUAUAUUUUUUAUACCUCCUUUACCACAUGAUUAAUCUUAAAAAUUUCUAUAAAAAUAAUAAUAUUUUAUUAAUUUACAAUUUAUUCGUAUGUAAAAUAAAAAAAUAACACUCUUUCUCUCUAAUUUCUUAAAAAAAAAAGAAAAACAAAAUACUUAUUAACAUUGAUACAAGGAGUCUAGAGGGCAACUUCAAGAGCAUGCUUAAACUAGAAAUAAGGACCGAUUAGUAAUGCAUGUGAUGGGCAGUUAUUACAUACAAAACGCAUGAAAUAUUCAUAUUCGCACAAACAUGAUGUCUCGGAAGUCCAGGAAUCAAACAUACAUGAUCUUUCUUGCUAUUGCCGAAUCUCCUCUAAAAAUACUUAAUAUAGGUAUGCGGUUUAAAUUAUCUUAAAAACUUCUAUAAAAAUAAUAUUUUAUUAUGAAAAUAAUAAUAUUUUAUUAGUUUAUACUUGAAAUAGGUGUAAAUGCACAUUAUACUUCCCUUCCACUUCUCUCCUCCCCUAUAUAUAUAUAUAUAUAGGAUAAUAUGUGUAAAUGCACAUUAUACUUCCCUUCCUCCUCUCUCCUCCCCUAUAUAUAUAGGAUUACUUGUGUGUAGUUUCUUACACCCAACUACACAAUAGAAGUCCAAGUAUUUUAUUCAAACUGUGAACAUGUUGUUUCUCGUUCUAUUACGUGCUAUUUUUCAUCCUUUCAACAUUACAUCUGCUGCUACUGACUACGAUACAUUUUACUUAAUACUAAUCAGGUAUAGGUUCACCUUACACGGAUUGUGGCCAAUUACUCUGGAUGGCAAGAGUCCUAAUUACAGGAAAUGUAAAAGGAUUCCCUUAAUGCUAAUCAGGUAUAUGUAUAGACAUAUUUUAGUGUUUUUAAUUCUCAAAAUUAAAAAUUCAUUUUCAUUUAUUUUAUUUUGUG